ACACUGCUGAGGAGUCCCAUAAUAGGACGAAACGGCCGUCCAGUGC
rfam:Schistosoma rodhaini strain Burundi genome assembly, scaffold: SROB_scaffold0004127